UGCAUAUCAAAUAAGCGGAGGAAAAGAAACCAACAGGGAUUGCCUCAGUAACGGCGAGUGAAGCGGCAAAAGCUCAAAUUUGAAACCCUCGGGAUUGUAAUUUGAAGAUUUGGCAUUGGAGAAAGCUAACCCAAGUUGCUUGGAAUAGUACGUCAUAGAGGGUGACAACCCCGUCUGGCUAACCGUUCUCCAUGUAUUGCCUUAUCAAAGAGUCGAGUUGUUUGGGAAUGCAGCUCAAAGUGGGUGGUAAACUCCAUCUAAAGCUAAAUACUGGUGAGAGACCGAUAGCGAACAAGUACUGUGAAGGAAAGGUGAAAAGAACUUUGAAAAGAGAGUGAAAUAGUAUGUGAAAUUGUUGAUAGGGAAGGAAAUGAGUGGAGAGUGGCCGAGGUUUCAGCCGCCCCUCGUGGGCGGUGUACUGCCGACGCCGAGUCAUCGAUAGCGAGACGAGGGUUACAAAUGGGAGCGCCUUCGGGCGUUCUCCCCUAACCCUCCACACUGCCACCGACGACAUAAUCCACCCAUUUCACCCGUCUUGAAACCACGGACC
rnacentral:rRNA from 1 species